UGCCCCUUAGCCAAGUGGUAAGGCAGCGGUUUUUGGUACCGCCAUCCGUUAGUUCGAAUCUAACAGGGGCAGCCA
rnacentral:tRNA from 1 species